UGCAGUCGACGAUGAGCCUUUCGGGGUGGAUUAGUGGCGAACGGGUGAGUAACACGUGGGCAAUCUGCCCUUCACUCUGGGACAAGCCCUGGAAACGGGGUCUAAUACCGGAUAACACCUUCCACCGCAUGGUGGGGGGUUGAAAGCUCCGGCGGUGAAGGAUGAGCCCGCGGCCUAUCAGCUUGUUGGUGGGGUGAUGGCCUACCAAGGCGACGACGGGUAGCCGGCCUGAGAGGGCGACCGGCCACACUGGGACAGAGACACGGCCCAGACUCCUACGGGAGGCAGCAGUGGGGAAUAUUGCACAAUGGGCGAAAGCCUGAUGCAGCGACGCCGCGUGAGGGAUGACGGCCUUCGGGUUGUAAACCUCUUUCAGCAGGGAAGAAGCGAAAGUGACGGUACCUGCAGAAGAAGCGCCGGCUAACUACGUGCCAGCAGCCGCGGUAAUACGUAGGGCGCAAGCGUUGUCCGGAAUUAUUGGGCGUAAAGAGCUCGUAGGCGGCUUGUCGCGUCGGAUGUGAAAGCCCGGGGCUUAACCCCGGGUCUGCAUUCGAUACGGGCAGGCUAGAGUGUGGUAGGGGAGAUCGGAAUUCCUGGUGUAGCGGUGAAAUGCGCAGAUAUCAGGAGGAACACCGGUGGCGAAAGCGGAUCUCUGGGCCAUUACUGACGCUGAGGAGCGAAAGCGUGGGGAGCGAACAGGAUUAGAUACCCUGGUAGUCCACGCCGUAAACGUUGGGAACUAGGUGUUGGCGACAUUCCACGUCGUCCGUGCCGCAGCUAACGCAUUAAGUUCCCCGCCUGGGGAGUACGGCCGCAAGGCUAAACUCAAGGAUUUGAC
rnacentral:rRNA from 1 species